CCUACGGGAUGCAGCAGUGAGGAAUAUUGGUCAAUGGGCGAGAGCCUGAACCAGCCAAGUCGCGUGAAGGAUGACGGCCCUACGGGUUGUAAACUUCUUUUGUCAGGGAGCAAUUGAGUCCACGUGUGGUCUUAGCGAGAGUACCUGAAGAAAAAGCAUCGGCUAACUCCGUGCCAGCAGCCGCGGUAAUACGGGGGAUGCGAGCGUUAUCCGGAUUUAUUGGGUUUAAAGGGUGCGUAGGCGGAAUAUCAAGUCAGCGGUAAAAAUUCGGGGCUCACCCCCGUCGUGCCGUUGAAACUGAGGUUCGUGAGUGGGCGAGAAGUAUGCGGAAUGCGUGGUGUAGCGGUGAAAUGCAUAGAUAUCACGCAGAACGGCGAUUGCGAAGGCAGCAUACCGGCGCCCAACUGACGCUGAAGCACGAAAGGGUGGGUAUCGAACAGGAUUAGAUACCCUAGUAGGC
rnacentral:rRNA from 1 species